rnacentral:rRNA from 1 species
UACGUAGGGUGCAAGCGUUAAUCGGAAUUACUGGGCGUAAAGCGUGCGCAGGCGGCUUUGCAAGACAGAUGUGAAAUCCCCGGGCUCAACCUGGGAACUGCAUUUGUGACUGCAAGGCUAGAGUACGGUAGAGGGGGAUGGAAUUCCGCGUGUAGCAGUGAAAUGCGUAGAUAUGCGGAGGAACACCGAUGGCGAAGGCGGCAUCCUGGACCAUAACUGACGCUGAGGCACGAAAGCUAGGGGAGCAAACGGG